CCCUUAGAUGUUCUGGGCUGCACGCGCGCUACACUGAAGCUAUCAACACGUUUUCCCUCCCUGAGAAGGGCGGGUAACCUUUUGAAUCAGCUUCGUGGUAGGGAUCGGGGCUUGCAAUUGUUCCCCGUGAACCAGGAAUUCCUAGUAGACGCGAGUCAUAAGCUUGCAUCGAUUAAGUCCCUGCCCUUUGUACACACCGCCCGUCGCUACUACCGAUUGAACGUUUUAGUGAGGCAUUUGGACCGACGCAUCUCAGUUUAACCGCUGGUUUGUGUUGGAAAGACUUCCAAACUUGAGCGUUUAGAGGAAGUAAAAGUCGUAACA
rnacentral:rRNA from 1 species